rnacentral:rRNA from 1 species
AUGAGGGAGUUCCUAAUAGAGAAGGUCUUGCCAGCGAUACAAGCAGUCUGGCCGGAAAGUGAUGCCGGACAGACCAUCUACAUUCAGCAGGAUAAUGCUAAGCCCCAUAUCUUGCCAGAUGACCAAGAAUUUCUAGCAGCUGUCGCAAAAACUGGACUUGACAUUAGAUUAGUACAACAACCUGCCAACAGUCCUAAUUUGAAUGUGCUUGACCUUGGCUUUUUCAACUCGCUGCAAUCUCUGACGGAUUGUUUGAGUCCUAAAACACUACAAGACCUUAUUGUAGGUGUUUUGGAGGAAUUUGAAGGCUAUGAUGUUUACAAGCUCAACAGAAUUUUCCUAACUCUACAAAUGUGCAUGACUGAGAUCUUGAACCAUGCAGGGGGAAUGGGUAUAAAAUACCACAUGUUAACAAGGAAAGGCUUGAGGGUCAUGGGCAGCUACCUCCAAGACUAA